UGGAGACCCAGGGACAGACCCAACAGCAGCCUGCGGCUCCUGGGCACAGCCGUGGGGUGGGGACAUGGGACACCGGCCUGUGUCAUUUGUGAGGUUGUACGGGGCCUUCACACCGAGCUGCACCCUCAGCCCUUACAGAGACAGCAUCACUCAGCCGUGUAGGCUGAGCUCAGAUCGCAUCCUCCUGCCUCAGCCUCCGGGGCGCUGGCUUUACAGGGUGUGGAGUCUGCAGCUGGCUUCUCACCGGGGAACAGACCAUCCCACCGUCUGCAAGAGCACCUCACACUGGACUCCACCUGGCCGGGGCACUGGUGGGGCCACCUUGCCUGUGUCCACACUGUGAGACUCGCAGACCCCA
rnacentral:lncRNA from 1 species